rnacentral:rRNA from 1 species
UACGAAGGGGGCUAGCGUUGCUCGGAAUGACUGGGCGUAAAGGGCGCGUAGGCGGCAUGUACAGUCAGAAGUGAAAUUCCUGGGCUCAACCUGGGGACUGCUUUUGAUACGUGCAAGCUAGAGUGAGGAAGAGGGUUGUGGAAUUUCCAGUGUAGAGGUGAAAUCCGUAGAUAUUCGCAAGAACACCAGUGGCGAAGGCGGCUCACUGGCCCGGUACUGACGCUGAGGUGCGAAAGCGUGGGGAGCAAACAGG